rnacentral:tRNA from 1 species
GCCCGAUUAGUUCAGCUGGAUAGAAUGUCUGCCUACGGGAGCACGUUGGUCGUAGGUUCGAAUCCUGCAUCGGGUA